UCCUUGAACUCUCUCGAACAUUCCCCCUCUCCCCUCAAAAUCGUCGUCACUCAAAUAUCCCCGAUUACAGCACCAAAAAAUGGAAUCAAUAUAUGAUUCUCUUACCAUAUUAGUCUGUCCUCCUUACUGGCUACCCUAUUUUGGUAUUACCUAAUAGAUUGCCUCAACUGGCAAGAAAAUAUUAUGAGAUUUGAACCAAAUCUUGUUCAAAAUCUUUAAUCGGUUGUGUAUUCUGUGUGUGUUCAUCCCGUUUUCUUUAUGAGUAAGGUUGUUUUACAUAUCUCUUGUAGAUUCUUACUUAGACCUAAAAGUUAGAAUUUCAUAUUCUCUUUGAUUCAAACCUAAACUGGUUCAAACUUCAUUUUUAGCAUUAUUCACUUCAUUAUGCGUGAAUCAUCCUAUUACGGUUAAUUCCUUUAUUUUCCCUAAAUUAGGGUUUUAGAUCCUGUAUUUGUUCAUUGUACCCAGUAUAUGAUUAUUUUGCCUUAUUUCUCUGCUGAUUUAAUGAUUUACCUGAAACUAGGGUUUGAGACUUUUACUCUUUCCUUUCUCGUAUGGUACUGAUAUUUUUUUAUUUCGUUCAAUCUACCAUGUUUCCAUUAUUUCUUUACCUUAUUUGCCUUGAAACUGACUGUUAAUUGAUAUUUUCCUUACUGUAAAUACUACUCGCCUGAUUACACGCUAUUAUGCCAUGUUAAUUUACUGAGCUCUGUAUUAUUUAUUCUGUGAUUAAUUUAUUUCCUUACUUAUAUCUGUUUGAUUACUUCCCUUAUCAUAAUUGAACACUAUUUAAACCCUUAUCCCUUUCCUCUUUAGACAGCUUGAACUCUCAAAACUCUCAUUAAGAAAUCUAGGACUUGGUUCUAUAAUCUUUCUGGUUUCUCUUGUUUACUACUGGUCUUGGCCGGCUGAAAGCCAAGGACAAACAUUCCGGACUCUCAACUUCGUAGAAAUUUUUCUUGUUUUGCUCGCUUAACUGGUGAGUGACUAUCCUUUGUCAUAUCAUUUUAAUGCGUUCCUGAUCUAUGUUUAUAAUCCAACAUGUCUAAAUCCGUCUCUAAGGAUGAUUCUGCCUGACUACAUUCUUUUCU
rnacentral:lncRNA from 1 species